GAUCAUGGCUCAGGAUGAACGCUAGCUACAGGCUUAACACAUGCAAGUCGAGGGGCAGCGGGGUUGAAGCUUGCUUCAACCGCCGGCGACCGGCGCACGGGUGAGUAACACGUAUCCAACCUGCCUUAUACUCGGGGAUAGCCUUUCGAAAGAAAGAUUAAUACCCGAUGUUAUAGUCUAACCGCAUGAUUUGACUAUAAAAGAUUUUCGGUAUAAGAUGGGGAUGCGUUCCAUUAGAUUGUAGGCGGGG
rnacentral:rRNA from 1 species